ensembl:snRNA U1 U1 spliceosomal RNA
GAUCAUACUUGGUAAGGGUGACUCCAUGAUUGCAAAGGUGGUUUGCCCAAGGUGAAGCUCACUCAUUGCAUUCCAGCCUGUUCACCUUUAUGAUAUUUCAAUAUGUGGAAACUGCUACUACUGCCUAAUUUGCAGUAGUGAAGAACUGCAUUUGGAUUAACCCCUAAAACUUUCUUUA